CAAGUAAAAGCUUUUAAAAGCAUUUUAUUUACAUUAAAAAGAUAUUGUUAAUUCAAUUUAUUUGA
rnacentral:tRNA from 1 species